UCCAGCAAAAAAUAAUUAAACAAGGAUAUCUAUAUGGAACCAACGUACUAUAUAAUAAUAAUUAAUACGUGGAUAUUAACAUGCAUUGAGAAAUGAAGGGAGAGCCGAGAUAGAGAGAUUUAUACGAGUACUACAAUAUUAAACCUACUAUACGUACCAGGCUGAAAAUCAAAUUGUCCUCGGACUAGAGUAAAACAUAAAAGCAAGAUUAGAAUCAUGAUUAGCAUCAUGAUCUCCAUUGGUUGACUCAUCGAUCUUUGGGAAAUCAAAUUAAUUAUGGAGAACCACCACAAACCUGGUAACUGAAGAGAUAAGUUGCUUUAUUAAUAAUUGAAUAUAACUAUGGAAGGA
rnacentral:lncRNA from 1 species